rnacentral:rRNA from 1 species
UGGGGAAUAUUGCACAAUGGGCGCAAGCCUGAUGCAGCCAUGCCGCGUGUGUGAAGAAGGCCUUCGGGUUGUAAAGCACUUUCAGCGGGGAGGAAGGCGAUAAGGUUAAUAACCUUGUCGAUUGACGUUACCCGCAGAAGAAGCACCGGCUAACUCCGUGCCAGCAGCCGCGGUAAUACGGAGGGUGCAAGCGUUAAGCGGAAUUACUGGGCGUAAAGCGCACGCAGGCGGUCUGUCAAGUCGGAUGUGAAAUCCCCGGGCUCAACCUGGGAACUGCAUUCGAAACUGGCAGGCUAGAGUCUUGUAGAGGGGGGUAGAAUUCCAGGUGUAGCGGUGAAAUGCGUAGAGAUCUGGAGGAAUACCGGUGGCGAAGGCGGCCCCCUGGACAAAGACUGACGCUCAGGUGCGAAAGCGUGGGGAGCAAACAGG